rnacentral:lncRNA from 1 species
AUGGCUGAAGCUUCAAGAGUUCUGCAAACCACUCUCAUUCCCAGUUUCCAUUCACAACACAAAGUCUCACAUUUCAAAAUUUCCGUAGAAACCCAAAUUCAGUGCUCAGUCUCCACAUGUGACAGCACCAGAAACAGAGUGACCCAGAAGAUCCAUGGGCCUGUGACAUUGAUUCCUUGUAAAACGCUUCUCCUUUGCAGAAAUGGCUGA